GUCGUUCAAUUGGAAGUCUGGUCAUUUUAGUGCUAUUGACGUAUUUAUGAAAGAGGCAUAAAAGAGAAAUGUUGCGGCGAGUGGAUAAUAAUUGAAAUGAAUAAUCCAUUUUAAGUUGUGUUACGCUGCAGGAGAAAUUAUAAUUACGAGAAAUGAAUCGGACUGCCCUAUUUUGAACUGCUACAUGCACCAGAUUUUGCUACAUGCAAUUUUUCACACCAGAUUCUGCUACAUGCAAUUGCAACACUUUAUAAGUUGUAUAAUAAUACUGCCUCCUCCUGCGGUGAUGCUUCAGCAACCACCUCAAGAGAGCAGCCACCAUCAAAACGGUGUGUAAACAAAAAAAAUUAUUUUAGGUACUUUUGGCAAGAGAUCACAACCACAACUUUUCGAAAAGGAUCACUUUCUGUACAUUUAAGUAAUAUGUAUAAUUCACUGCAGGUCACGCUCGUCAUGCAGACUGUAUCAGGAGGUCAAGACCUCGUCAGGCUAUUUAGCCUUUAGUCUUUGCCUCCCGCAGGAAAGUUUUUGUAUUUUUUUUUAUUCUUUCCUGCAAAAAUAAACUUUGAAACUUUGAAACUUUGAAGACGACAACGGACCUGCGAGGGCGCUAGCAAUGCAGGAGAGGGCACAAGCCAUGAAGCUGUGGCGCAAGCGUGCAUGGAGCACCUUGAACACAUCAGAGCGAACAAGGGGGUCAUCAAAAAAGAUAACAUUGGUUUCUUCGCUCUACGUACCGAUGCACCCCUCAGAGAGCUACCAGUGCACAUUGCACAAGAUGUAAUGCAUGCAGUAGAACUUAUGCUGUAUGAAGCAGAGGCAAAAUUGCAUCAGAGCAGUGAAGCAAAUUGAAGUGUUUAUAUAUAUAAAGUCAAUGACACCCACCUUUUUUUAUCUUGUGUUCACUUUUCUAGUCCUAACUUAAAGGGGUCAUGACUGGUCACUCAACAAUUGACGGUUGUCAGCAAAAAACAAAACUACAGAGUAAAAUGUGCUAGUACACGUGUGAAAAGGGGCCUUAAGAGAUUAUUUUAGUCAAAAAUAUGCCGUAGAAGUGCUCGGCUCCUAAAACUCAACCUACCACAAGUGACCGCCAUUUUGUCAUGGCGUGCGCGACGUCACAAGCCGAAGGAGCAGUGGCAAAUGGUAUACGCAUUGCACAUUCACGAAAUUAUUUGCUGCAAGUACCAACGCUACAUUGCUGACACAGUAGCCAUGUUUCGACCCCUGGAAGUCAUUUAGCUUUAGUGGAGAGUUCAACAAUGCAAAAAAAUUUGAUUGCAAACGCAGCUGAUGACAAAACACGACCGUCUGCCAGAAUGCACACUGUGCAGCAGCUUGUCGAGCAAGCGGUUCGUGAUGUCAUGGAUAGUGAGUGCAUCAGUAUUGCCCAACUGUCAGGCGACUAGCUCGUUUAUAAAAAUAUGCGAUUAAAAAUUAGCAGCUUGACCAAAUCGCUCGAAUUUCACCAGCUUGUAUGUGAACAUACAAGAAUCAGCUCAUGCAACACACAUUAUGGUUGAAAAUUGGGUGUCAUGACCCCUUUAAGGCCACUUAUUUCUGUGAUAAUUAUAGCGAUAACCGUGCAAUAACUCAAAUAUUUUAACAUGAAUUAUUUAUUUUUGUGUUUUCAUGGUUAUAUUUGGACAUGACAGUUUUCCCUGUAAUGUAUCUGUUGUGUCACGGGUGAUUUUUUUCUUCUUUGUUUAGCUUAAGAAGAUGCUAUGUACAUAAGUUCUGUAAGCAAUAAAAUGCAUUUACAACCCACC